rnacentral:rRNA from 1 species
AUUGAACGCUGGCGGCAGGCCUAACACAUGCAAGUCGAAUGGUAACAGGAAACAGCUUGCUGUUUCGCUGACGAGUGGCGGACGGGUGAGUAAUGUCUGGGAAACUGCCUGAUGGAGGGGGAUAACUACUGGAAACGGUAGCUAAUACCGCAUAACGUCGCAAGACCAAAGAGGGGGACCUUCGGGCCUCUUGCCAUCAGCUUUGCCCAGAUGGGAUUAGCUAGUAGGUGGGGUAACGGCUCACCUAGGCGACGAUCCCUAGCUGGUCUGAGAGGAUGACCAGCCACACUGGAACUGAGACACGGUCCAGACUCCUACGGGAGGCAGCAGUGGGGAAUAUUGCACAAUGGGCGCAAGCCUGAUGCAGCCAUGCCGCGUGUAUGAAGAAGGCCUUCGGGUUGUAAAGUACUUUCAGCGGGGAGGAAGGGAGUAAAGUUAAUACCUUUGCUCAUUGACGUUACCCGCAGAAGAAGCACCGGCUAACUCCGUG